CCUGGCAGCUGAGACGGUAAAGCGUCUGCCUACAAUGUGGGAGACCCAGGUUCAAUCCCUGGGUCGGGA
rnacentral:tRNA from 1 species